rnacentral:misc_RNA from 1 species
UCGAAUUAAAUCCAAGCCAUCUGGCUGUGCAUUAACUUGCACGCCGGGCGGCCUGGCUCUUUGAUUUUUCACACCUCUGUGCACUUCGGGCCGACGUCUCCUUGGAGGCGAAGGCCGGCUUUUUUACACCCUUUUUUGCAUGUCUUUGAAUGUAACGGGCCUCCCUGUGAUGGGGUCGGUCUUUAAUCAUAAAUA